AGAGCUUUGGUGUAAUGAGAGUGAUGUGUUUCUAUAGGUUAUAGGUUUGUAUCAAAUAGAGGUUCAGAGUUAGUUUUGAUGUGGCUUAGAAUGAGUUAAAUGAUGCUUGGAAUAAGUUAAAAUGGUUUGGAAUUAGUUUGAUGUGGUUUGGAAUUAGUUUGAUGUGGCUUGGAAUUAGUUUGAUGUGGUUUGGUUUGGGACUGUUAUGAC
rnacentral:lncRNA from 1 species